rnacentral:rRNA from 1 species
UGGGGAAUAUUGCACAAUGGGGAAACCCUGAUGCAGCGACGCCGCGUGAGCGAAGAAGUAAUUCGUUAUGUAAAGCUCUAUCAGCAGGGAAGAAAAUGACGGUACCUGAGUAAGAAGCCCCGGCUAACUACGUGCCAGCAGCCGCGGUAAUACGUAGGGGGCAAGCGUUAUCCGGAUUUACUGGGUGUAAAGGGAGCGUAGACGGAUCUGCAAGUCUGGAGUGAAAGCCCGGGGCUCAACCCCGGGACUGCUUUGGAAACUGUGGAUCUAGAGUGCCGGAGAGGUAAGCGGAAUUCCUAGUGUAGCGGUGAAAUGCGUAGAUAUCACGAAGAACUCCGAUUGCGAAGGCAGCUCACUAGACUGCAACUGACACUGAUGCUCGAAAGUGUGGGUAUCAAACAGGAUUAGAUACCC